UUAGUUUUUUUAGUUUAGUUUUAUUUCGAGCACAUAGAAUCAUCAGAGAGCAAAGAACCACACAACAUGGUCAAACCAAAUUUUUCCACACUCAAAAAAGAGAAUGCAGGUGUUUC